rnacentral:rRNA from 1 species
GUGGCAAACGGGUGAGUAAUAGUUAGGUAACCUGCCUUUAAGUGGGGGAUAACACUUCGAAAGAAGUGCUAAUACCGCAUGUGGUGCUCUUUCAUAAGAAGGAUCACUAAAACCGCAAGGUGCUUGAAGAGGGGCCUGUCUCCGAUUAGCUAGUUGGUGAGGUAAUGGCCCACCAAGGCUGGGAUCGGUAGCUGGUCUGAGAGGAUGGUCAGCCACACUGGGACUGAGAUACGGCCCAGACUCCUACGGGAGGCAGCAGCAAGGAAUCUUGGGCAAUGGGCGAAAGCCUGACCCAGCGACGCCGCGUGAGGGAUGAAGGCCUUCGGGUUGUAAACCUCUUUUCUCAGGGAAGAAUAAUGACGGUACCUGAGGAAUAAGUCUCGGCUAACUACGUGCCAGCAGUUGCGGUAAUACGUAGGAGGCGAGCGUUAUCCGGAUUUAUUGGGCGUAAAGUGGGCGUAGGUGGUCUUUCAAGUCAGAUGUGAAAUCUCCCGGCUUAACUGGGAGGGGUCAUCUGAUACUGUUGGACUUGAGUACAGCAGGGGAAAAUGGAAUUCCCGGUGUAGUGGUGAAAUGCGUAGAUAUCGGGAGGAAUACCAGAGGCGAAGGCGAUUUUCCAGGCUGAAACUGACACUGAGGCCCGAAAGCGUGGGGAGCGAACAGGAUUAGAUACCCUGGUAGUCCACGCCUUAAACUAUGGGUACUAGGUAUAGGGAGUAUUGACCCUUUCUGUGCCGAAGCUAAUGCUUUAAGUACCCCGCCUGGGGAGUACGGUCGCAAGACUAAAACUCAAAGGAAUUGACGGGGGCCCGCACAAGCAGCGGAGCGUGUGGUUUAAUUCGAUUUAUACGAAGAACCUCACCAAGGCUUGACAUGUUAGAAGUAGUGAACCGAAAGGGAAACGACCUGUUAAAUCAGGAGCUAUCACAGGUGCUGCAUGGCUGUCGUCAGCUCGUGCCGUGAGGUGUAUGGUUAAGUCCUGCAACGAGCGCAACCCUUAUUGCCAGUUAUAUUCUCUGGCGAUACUGCCUCGUAAAACGAGGACGAAGGUGGGGAUGACGUCAAGUCAGCAUGGCCUUUAUGCCUUGGGCUACACACACGCUACAAUGGGCGGUACAAUGGUUGCCACCGGGUGACCGGGAGCUAAUCUCCAAAACCGCCCUCAGUUCGGAUCGCAGGCUGAAACCCGCCUGCGUGAAGUCGGAGUUGCUAGUAAACGCGUGUCAGCAUAGCGCGUUGAAUACGUUCUCGGGCCUUGUACACACCGCCCGUCACGUCAUGAAAGCUGGUAACACCUGAAGUCGAUAGGCUAACCCGCAAGGGAGGCAGUCGCCCAAGGUGGGACUGGUAAUUGGGACGAAGUCGUAACAAGGUA